rnacentral:rRNA from 1 species
UGACCUCGGUUCAGACGUGAAUACCCGCUGAACUUAAGCAUAUCAUUAA